GGUUAUAGCUCAGUGGUAGAGUGCUUGCCUAGCAUGUGAGGCACUGGGUUCAAUUCUCAGCACCA
rnacentral:tRNA from 1 species